UACGUAGGGGGCAAGCGUUGUCCGGAAUCAUUGGGCGUAAAGAGCUUGUAGGCGGUUUGUCGCGUCUGCUGUGAAAUUUCGGGGCUCAACCCCGGACUUGCAGUGGGUACGGGCAGACUAGAGUGUGGUAGGGGAGACUGGAAUUCCUGGUGUAGCGGUGAAAUGCGCAGAUAUCAGGAGGAACACCGAUGGCGAAGGCAGGUCUCUGGGCCACUACUGACGCUGGAGGAGCGAAAAGCAUGGGGAGCGAACAGG
rnacentral:rRNA from 1 species